rnacentral:lncRNA from 1 species
CUAACGAAAAAAAAUAAUAGAUGUUCAAAAUACUAGCAAAUAGCUUUUGUCUACGGGGAAAAUAAAUGGUCAAAAAUAGCCCAUUACUUUUGAAUUUUGGAUUUAUACCGGUGUCCACACCACCCGUACAGCUCUACACGGCUACACCCAUGCUAUCACGAGUACGCACGACGUCGAGAGUAGCUGUAAUGGAGUCGUAUGGAGAGGAUCCGCUGCUGCUGCUGUGUGCGCGACCACCACGCCAAGAUCCCAACUGCCGGUCACCGAGGUGAGAUUCAAUCUCUGAUAUUUCUUCCUUUUUUCCUUUAGAAAAUCCUAUCUAAUUUAAAAUUUCAUUGCUAACAUCAUCGAGUCAUUCCACGUGCAGCGAAAUCAGGGAUUCGUCUAACAUCAAACACGAUCGAGAUUAUGGCAACAGUUCAAUAUAUAUAUCAUGUCAGCAUUUGUGUAAUCAUACGUGAGGAUGAUUGAUAAUUUAAUCCGUCCAAGUACAAUUUUAUUUAAUUGUUUGGCAUUGUAUUUUGUAGGUAUAAGGAGAUGCAGGGACAUUGUAUAUCUUUUUAAGAAUCAUAUACAGCAAAUAAAGAAGGCGGCGGCGGCUACUGCUACGUACUGCAAAAAAAAGAAAGUGACUAAGGGAGAGAAAAAAAAGUUAAACAACAUCUAACGAUAACGACGGCCGAAGCCCGGAGGAGCAAGAUAAAAGAAACAAACAGAGACCAGCUGGAGGAGGGAAGAAAAGAAGAAAAGGAGAAAAAAAAUAUAAACAGUGGCUAGAGGUGCUCACAGGCUAGAGAUUCUUGAGUGGUUAAAGAAAGUAGUUAUAGUUAUAGUCUUGCAUUGCCUUUCUUGCCUUCAUUACGUACUGACGUAAGAUGACUCAUUUCCCACGGCUCUACGGUUUUUCGACGUACGUAUUCUUUCAAAAAAAAAGGAGAAAUAAAAAGAAGAGUUUUGAUGCGUUG